rnacentral:lncRNA from 1 species
GGUGCACUGUUGUGGCUGCCUCAGUGCCCUGAACUGAUUUAAAGCACUGACCUUUCAUGGUCAUUCUGACUUUGCGGGAGAGCUGGAAAGCACAGUGCCAGAUCUGGUGAGUAAGGUGGAGGAGGACGCACUUCAGUGUUUUUAGGAGCCUGCCUUUCUGUUGGAUUGCGCUCGGCAGCAGCAGUCACUGUGGUUUUUAUCACACCUCAUAGACACUCAGGAAAGAGGAUUCCAGAGCUGCCUCGUGUUCAAAACAAGAGGGAGGAUUUUGAGGGGCUAGUGGCAGUGUGUCUUUUACUGCAGUAAUUUUAUAAAGACUGCAGACUUUCACCAUAUGGAGUUUGAUCAUACCUUCAAUAAAGUUUCGUCUCUAACCUAGGCACAGUAAGAGAUUAACAGCGCUAAGUGAGAAUGAAAUAGAACAAUUAUAACAGUGUACUGUACUAUAAAGUUGCAUGACUGCGGUCUCUUUUUCUCACAAAAUAUCUGCGUGUAGUUGCUCUUCUUUUCAUGAUUAUGUGAGAGGUUACUCGCAGCAUUUCCCAGUGUCCCUUGGGCCUGGCUGAUUGCCAUCUGGUGCCUCAGGUCAUUACUAAGUGAAACACGGGCGGCUCUCCCGGGAGUCCUGCCAGCUGCAGCAGUCAUCGUGCUCCCCGUGUCCAGUCCUGACGGCCUUCGGCUCCCACCCUGCCCUGUCCCGUCGGUCUGCAGACCAGCAAAGCAAUGCACCCCCGCCGGGAGACAGCCCCAGUUCUGUCCGCACAGCCCGCUCUUCCUGGUUCACGGUGCCAGCACCCGGCCUGGGAUCUGCCACAGGGUUGCUGGUGAUGUUAUCUGAUGGAUAAGAUGGAUAAGCUGAUGGAUCUGAGAGUGAGGGCCUGACCGUUCCCUCCCUCCUCUCUCCCUGCCGGUCAUCCUGAAGUCCGCACCGC